GCUUGUCUCAAAGAUUAAGCCAUGCAUGUCUCAGUAUAAGUUCCUGUACGGCGAAACUGCGAAUGGCUCAUUAAAACAGUUACAGUUUAUUUGAUGGUCGUUCCUUACAUGGAUAACUGUGGUAAUUCUAGAGCUAAUACAUGCACCCGUGCCCGACUUUGUGGAAGGGUUGUGUUUAUUAGUUACAGAACCAGCCCAGGCUCUGCCUGGUCUUGUGGUGAUUCAUAAUAACUUUGCGAAUCGCAUAGCUUUAAUGCUGGCGAUGGGUCAUUCAAAUUUCUGCCCUAUCAACUUUCGACGGUAGGAUAGAGGCCUACUGUGGUGAUAACGGGUAACGAAGAAUAAGGGUUCGAUUUCGGAGAGGGAGCCUGAGAAACGGCUACCACAUCCAAGGAAGGCAGCAGG
rnacentral:rRNA from 1 species